GACGAACGCUGGCGGCGUGCUUAACACAUGCAAGUCGAACGGAAAGGCCCUGCUUUUGUGGGGUGCUCGAGUGGCGAACGGGUGAGUAACACGUGAGUAACCUGCCCUUGACUUUGGGAUAACUUCAGGAAACUGGGGCUAAUACCGGAUAGGAGCUCCUGCUGCAUGGUGGGGGUUGGAAAGUUUCGGCGGUUGGGGAUGGACUCGCGGCUUAUCAGCUUGUUGGUGGGGUAGUGGCUUACCAAGGCUUUGACGGGUAGCCGGCCUGAGAGGGUGACCGGCCACAUUGGGACUGAGAUACGGCCCAGACGCCUACGGGAGGCAGCAGUGGGGAAUAUUGCAGAAUGGGCGGAAGCCUGAUGCAGAAACGCCGCGUGCGGGAUGACGGCCUUCGGGUUGUAAACCGCUUUCGCCUGUGACGAAGCGUGAGUGACGGUAAUGGGUAAAGAAGCACCGGCUAACUACGUG
rnacentral:rRNA from 1 species